rnacentral:rRNA from 1 species
UCCACGGAAUUUGGCAGAGAUGCCUUAGUGCCUUCGGGAACCGUGAGACAGGUGCUGCAUGGCUGUCGUCAGCUCGUGUUGUGAAAUGUUGGGUUAAGUCCCGCAACGAGCGCAACCCUUAUCCUUUGUUGCCAGCGGCUCGGCCGGGAACUCAAAGGAGACUGCCGGUGAUAAACCGGAGGAAGGUGGGGAUGACGUCAAGUCAUCAUGGCCCUUACGGCCAGGGCUACACACGUGCUACAAUGGCGCAUACAAAGAGAAGCGACCUCGCGAGAGCAAGCGGACCUCAUAAAGUGCGUCGUAGUCCGGAUUGGAGUCUGCAACUCGACUCCAUGAAGUCGGAAUCGCUAGUAAUCGUAGAUCAGAAUGCUACGGUGAAUACGUUCCCGGGCCUUGUACACACCGCCCGUCACACCAUGGGAGUGGGUUGCAAAAGAAGUAGGUAGCUUAACCUUCGGGAGGGCGCUUACCACUUUGUGAUUCAUGACUGGGGUGAAGUCGUAACAAGGUAGGCGUAGAUGA